GAGUCAGAAGCUGCCUUACCACACUGUAACCAAAGGAAAAUGACUCUGAUUCCACAGAUUCUUUAAAAGAAAGCUGCAACACAUUUGCUGCAGACAUCAGGCUUUUUGAUUAAUGGAGGUAUACUGUAAUAAGACAUCAAGAUACUUGGAUAUAAAACCAUAUUUUUCUUUAGGCUUUUAUGAACUCUGUAAGGCCCAAGCAUGAAUCACAUUCAGAAAUGAGCUAAGUCAAUCAGCUCUUGAAAUAACUCUAAAGUGCUCUAUCACCUCUUAGCCCCUAAAGAUAAAAGAUAAACUUCAAAAUGCAGACGGACAGAGAAAGAAGAAACUGUUAAGGGCCAGGUCAGGGAUUAAAGUAGUGGUGGAAAGGCUUAGAGCAAAGAAGAAAUGUAAAUGUCAGAGGAAAAAAAAAGCUGCAAGAAGAAGGAUGGAGAGAACAGAGGUACUGACGGAGGAUGGUAACAGCUGACAGCCUUGAAACACAUACAAAAGGACAAAGGUGUGAAGCGAAUAGCCUGGAGUCCUGGCAGAAGCUACCUGGAAUUGGGUCUGAAGGAGGAAAUUUGCCUAAACUGCAAUUUGAUCAUGUCGUGGAUUUAACUUCUUAGAUGAAAUCAUCUCCCAGUUCACCCUCCAGGAACCACUGAUGACAACUGAAAAAAGCUCACACAGCUCGCACUGGCUCUGUGAAAGUAUCCAUCUACUUAAGCUUUCCUUCUGCUUACAAUAGAACUCAUUUCCCCAGGAAUUCUGCUGGACCUCAUCUGCAGAGCUCAGACACAGCGCCCCUGGGGACAUCUCCGGACAAAGUCUUCCUCCUCUCUGCCAAAGUCUCUUCCGGACAUUUGUAGAUGUUUACCUAUUCCUCAUCAUAGCACAAUGAGGAUCAAAAACAAGCAGAGCAGCUGAGAAAAAUAAAACGCCAAGUACUAAGAUUUGUCUUCGCUUGAAAUACUCAAGUUGGUCAGGACAAUAUAACAACAGGUUGAUUAUAGAGCUCCUGCAACCUGUUUUAUACUGCAUAUGCCAGACAAUAACCCAAAAGAAUAAGAAGAGGCUAACAUUUGGAGAGAUGCUGUGAGCAUAGCUUCCAAGCCACAUGCAUAUAAUCAGGUUUCCCAAUGCUACCUGUGAAAUCUACUAAUCAAAUGCUUGGGAAAGUACAGAAAGCUUAAUUUAGUCAUCAGCUGUUUGAAUGAAUUUACCAAACUUUUUAUUUUCUCUGGAUACCCAAAUGUCAGAAGAAAAAAGCACAUGUUCAAUUGCUCUCCUACUUUUUUAAGCCAUUUAUAGUAUUGCUGAAGUUCUUGUCUAACAAAGAGCGGGUCAAGCUUGCAAAAUUGUUGUUUAGUUUUCUUUUUCAAAGUUUGAUGGACUAAAUAAUUCCUUUCAAAGCAAAAACACCUGUCUUCCCUAGGUUUCCUUUUCAUUGCCUAUCACCAUGCUUUUAACAUUUCUCACAUUUACCCAUGUACAUUUUCACUUAAGAAUACUGGUCUAGGCAACAGGUAUGUGUUCUGCUUUAAUCUCAUCCCACUUUUAUCCCUAUUGCAUAUUGUCAAAACUUUCCUCUUGGAAUCACUACUCCUACCGUAAUUCUAAACCUGGUGUGGUACACACAGAUUUUCUCCUUUGCCUUUGCCACCUCCAGAAAGCCAACUAACCUGGUAGAAGGCAGCAUGUCCUCAUGCUACAGUACACUGCCACAAGUAUUUGCAAAGCCUCUCACCAAACUAUUUCAGGGAACAGACGCAAAUUAAAGACAGUAAAAAAAAAAAAAAAAAAAAAAAAAAAAAAAAAAAAAAAAGUGAACAUCCUUCUUCAGUAGUGUUGCAUUAUUUCAUCUUCAAUUAUAUGUAUCACUUUGGAAUAAGCAUUAAGAAUUCCAGAUUUGGAAAGUCUUGGUAGCACUUAAGUAUGAACAAGCAAUACCUAAAAUACCUCUUAACAUAGUGAUCUUGUUAGAGAACGUAGUCUCUGAAUCAGGAAAGCUCCCAGCUCCCAGUCAGCAGUCUGAUUUCAAGACAUAUCUGAGAACUAUAACACCUUGUUAGCUCAAAGCUAGUGACCUCUGCUCUGACAGAUCCUUCUCCAAACAGGAGGGUGCUGUGUCCAAGACAUGAGAUCUAUGUAAGGUGAACCUGAAACUCUGUAGAAGAUUUGCCCGUGAGCUCUCAGACUGAUUAGGAUUUUUUAUUUUUUCUUACUUUUCCUUGUAAUGCUUAGAUUGUGUGUUUGUUUUUUGCAAUGUUUAGACAUUAUCCAGGUAAGCAGACAAUGCAGAUCGUUUUAUUUUUGGAGACCACUGGGGAGGGACAGAAGAGAGACUUUUAUUGUGGUCUUUCUAUGGACUUCACUUCUGUUCUUUAAUGUUUUAACCUCUUAAUUUAAAUAAAUAAAUAG
ensembl:lncRNA